GGCUAUUUCUUGGUUAUAUGUACACAAUUGAAUACAAUCAUCAAACAGGAGUAAGGAAUUAUCUCUAAUACCGAGAGCCUGAACCUGGGUAACCCCAAGUCUUUAUCUAACUAUCGAUCUUUGUGUCUCGCUAGUCAUCUCAUAUAUUAUUGCCGAUCCAAAUCAUCAAUAGUUGGCGCGUCAGGUAGGGGAAGCUACUCUGAGGUUUUCGACGAGAUCAAUGAACCCAAACUCGAAAAUCAUGAAGAUAAAAUUUGCUCCAGGGCAAACCUUCAUGUUUGGCGGCAUCAGACUCCUCAUCGACCAGUAUGGUGCGCUCUCCUACGCAGAUUCAGAUUCAUUUGAGUCUAAGGAGGAGGUGUGUUGCUUCAUUCCGGAUGACUCAGCGUUAGUUCAAGACGAGAUCUAAUCUAGAUCUUGCCACAUGGAUCUGCAGUCUCCAGAGUCGGCACCUCUGCUUUUCGGGAUCGAGGUCAACACCACCCAUAACUGCAGUCUCCAGACGAAGCCAGACACCAAAAUAAGAAUCAAUCUUGCGAGUAGCUAAGAAGCCAGUCGCACAAGGUGCAAUGCGAUCUACUCCACACUUAGGGGCAUACAAUCUUCACGACAUCUGAGCGGCAGCAGAUCUACUCGACGACAUCCUACAACAACUCCCAUAUCACCCAGUCACAGAAACAAUAUGUGAGGUGAGGGCGAUGAUCACCACUAUCAUCCAACAAUCCCAGCACUGUAGCUCCACCUUCCCGAUCGGAGGCCUAGUCUUCGAGAUCUCCUGGAUCUAGGCAGCGAUCUUCAAAGCAACCUAUAUGUUUUGAUAGAGAUCAAGGUAAGAUAUCAAUAUAUGAUGCUAUUGCAGGCGAUAAUGGUGAGAAGAUUGGUGGUGAAGGUUGGGCCAUGGGGUGGAUUUGAUGGGUGUCCAUUCGACAUGAGCUUAUCAAGGACUAUCCUUCGUCGGCUGAAGAGCAUCACCUUGUACCACUCCUAUGGCGCCAUCCACUCCUUCUCCUACGACUACUACAUCUAAUAUAAUCAUCAACAGGGAGAGGGACUCAAGCUCGUCAAGGACGGUCCAUGGGGAGAGCCACGUUCCUACGCCUCCAUAGCUAUGCGAGAUAAGGUAAGUAACUACCUCAGUUUCACAAUACAGGACUUUCCAGCAUUAAAUUGUGGUUAUUAAUGAUUAUAGACAUAUGUACAGAUAAUAUAAAUCGAUCAAUAAACGAAUUUAGGCACAAACAAAACUUAGUACAAUAUGAAACAAAUGAAGUAAUGACUAUCCAUGAUUAGUUUCACCUCCUUGAAGCCUCUUUAAGCAUGCCAUUUAAUUCCAGAGCAAUUUUAUAAUUUUUAAGUAGGUACUUAGAGGUACCAAAAUUUUAGUGUAAGAUUUGGUACCUCCUAGUAUCUAAGAUAUCAAAAGAUAUCAAAUUUUACAAUAGAAUUUUGGAAUCUACUGGUACCUUCUCAAGUAGUAUUACCUCCGUCCCUAAAUGUUUGACGCUGUUAACUUUUUGACACAUAUUUGACCGUUCGUUUUAUUCAUUUUUUUAUAAAAUAUGUAAAACUAUAUAUAUGCAUAAAAGUAUAUUUAACAAUAAAUAAAGUAAUAUGAAAAUAAUUAAUAAUUAUGUAGAUUUUUUUAAUUAGACGAAUAUAGUCAAACAUGUAAAAAACAUCAUCAACGGUGUUAAACAUUUAGGGACGGGACGGAGGGAGUAUAAAAUUGCUCCUAAUUCAAAUCCUCUUAAUUAGCAUCAUCCCAGACGAAUGAAUGAAUUGUUCAGCAGCUUGUAAACUGAUCGAUUGAUGAUUGAUGUUGUAAUCAAAUAAAUAUAUGCAGAUAAAGUUGUCGGGCAUUUCAGGGACGUGGAUGAGCCUGUGAUCACCUCCCUCACCUUCCGCACCAGCACCGGCAGGAAGUACGUACGGGCCCUACGGCGGCACUCCGUUCAGCAUGCAGGUCGACGGCGACGGCGGCGUCGUCGGAUUCUGGGGACGCGCGCUGGAUGGCUCCUCGAUGCCAUCGGAAUCUACGUCAGGCCCCGGCCCCCAAAUUAAGUUUUGC
rnacentral:lncRNA from 1 species